rnacentral:sRNA from 1 species
CAGCGGACUGCUCGAGCUGCU